CCUACGGGUGGCAGCAGUGGGGAAUAUUGCACAAUGUGGGAAACCCUGAUGCAGCAACGCCGCGUGAGUGAAGAAGUAUUUCGGUAUGUAAAGCUCUAUCAGCAGGGAAGAGAAUGACGGUACCUGACUAAGAAUCCCCGGCUAACUACGUGCCAGAAGCCGCGGUAAUACGUAGGGGGCGAGCGUUCUCCGGAUUUACUGGGUGUAAAGGGAGCGUAGAAGGUUCGGCAAGUCUGAAGUGAAAGCCCGGGGCUUAACCGGGGAACGGCUUUUGAAACUGGGGAACUGGAGUGCUGGAGAGGUGAGCGGAAUUCCUAGUGUAGCGGUGAAAGGCGUAGAUAUUAGGAGGAACACCAGUGGCGAAGGCGGCUUGCUGGACAGUAACUGACGUUGAGGCUCGAAAGCGUGGGGAGCAAACAGGAUUAGAUACCCGUGUAGUC
rnacentral:rRNA from 1 species